GCCAUUCAAAGCCUCUGGAUUUUUCCUCUGUCACAUAUAUUCAUUCACUACUUCAUUUUUAAGCCCAUAUAUUUUUGAGGAAGGUGAUAUAUACGGGAUUUUAAAGAAAGACUAGUAUCUGGUGUGAAGACUUUCUGAGAUCUUUUUGGAACUCUCCCUCCACUCUUCAUCUGAUUUUCAACUGUAAUUCCAAGAAAAUAUAGUAUUUGAGACAGCCACACUUUUGUAAAACUAUCUUGGCAGAUGGACUAAACCAGACUGGGGGAGCCAAUGGGCCCCAAACCCAUGGAGAAAAUACUUCAUAUCCCAGACUUUCAUCAUUAAUAUUGGAUACAGGGAAGAAGGAAAAAUGGCAGAUAAGAAGCAAGGAAUGUUCAAACCAUUAUGAAAAUCCUUUCCAACCAACCUUAAAAUGAUGCUUCAAAAGAAAUACUUGAGUGAACCAACAGGGGACUAGGUGCAGCAACUUUUCUGCAGAAUAAACUUGAAAGGUAGGCAGAAAUGGUCUGGAUC
rnacentral:lncRNA from 1 species